ACGGUCACAUCGUUGAAGCUACCCCCCCACCGCUGUACGAUGACCGAAGUUAAGCAACGUCGAACCUGGUCAGUACCUAGAUGGGUGACCACUUGGGAAUACCGGGUGCUGUAA